rnacentral:rRNA from 1 species
AAGGCUUGACCUCAAAUCAGGUAGGACUACCCGUGAACUUAAGCUAUCAAU